GGGCCUGUAGUCUAGCCUGGAUAGGAGCAAAUAAGGCAAAUAGGACAUAUGGCUUCGGACCAUAGGACCCCGGUUCGAAUCCGGGCAGGCUCA
rnacentral:tRNA from 1 species